rnacentral:rRNA from 1 species
GACGAACGCUGGCGGCGUGCCUAAUACAUGCAAGUUGAGCGAUGAAGUUUGGUGCUUGCUCCUAUUUGAAGAGCAGCGAACGGGUGAGUAACGCGUGGGGAAUCUGCCUUUGAGCGUGGGACAACAUCUGGAAACGAAUGCUAAUACCGCAUAACAUCUUUAAACAUAAGUUUUAAGAUUGAAAGAUGCAAUUGCUUCACCCAAUGAAUAUCCCGCGUUGUCUUAGCCGGUUGGUGAGGUAAAGGCCUAACAAGGCCAUGGUACAUAGCCGACCUGGGAGGGGGAACGGCCACAUUGGGAAUGGGGAACGGCUCAAAACCCUACGGGGGGCAGCAGGAGGGGAUUUUCGGCAAUGGGGGGAAGGCUGGACGGGGCAAGGCGGGGGGGGGAAGGAGGGUUUCGGGUCGGAAAACUCUGUUGAUAGGGGAGAACGUUGGUGGGAGUGGAAAGCUCAUCAAGUGACGGUAACUACCCAGAAAGGGACGGCUAACUACGUG